GCGGGGGUACCCGAGCCAGGUCUAAGGGGUGGGGUUCAGGUCCCCAUGGCGCAGGCCUUCGUGGGUUAAAAUCCCACCCCCCGCA
rnacentral:tRNA from 1 species